UACGGAGGGGGUUAGCGUUGUUCGGAAUGACUGGGCGUAAAGCGCGCGUAGGCGGAUCGCAAAGUUGGGGGUGAAAGCCCAGGGCUCAACCCUGGAAUUGCCUUCAAGACUCGCGGUCUGGAGUUCGAGAGAGGUGGGAUUCCGAGUGUAGAGGUGAAAUUCGUAGAUAUUCGGAGGAACACCAGUGGCGAAGGCGGCCCACUGGCUCGACACUGACGCUGAGGCGCGAAAGCGCGGGGAGCAAACAGG
rnacentral:rRNA from 1 species